CCUGAUAAUACACACUACACCUGUUCCUCUUGUCCUUCAUUCCAACACAACAUGUGUAUUCACCUGUAAGAAAGGAAAAAGCUACGGUGGCCAAACGAAUGCAAAAGCCACAACGUAAAUACAACAGCCAGAAGUGAGUAACAACGAAUUUAGACAAUGAAACGGGCCGACUAUUAUUGACGGCGGACUAUUAUUAGGCUCGUUGGAGACGAGCCAGGCCUGCGCAGAAUUGCUCACCGGCAAUCACCGCAAAAUGCACGCCGGUUAGAUUUGUGUCCGACUUGAUCCCGACUCGCUCUGACAUAAUGCACACACUGCAACUGCUCUCUAUCGACUGACCCAGGGCAUGAUGGGAAACGCCUGGCUGUUGGCUCUUUGUUUUGGCCACAAACACCAAUAUUCAGUAUAAUUGUAAAAUUUAACGCUAGAUUAUGAAUAAUACAAUGCCAGAUACACACACUUUUCCACAUAUAUUUAC